GCUCCGGUGUCCUAGUGGUUAGAGCGUCCGUUUCGGAUGCGGGAUGUCGCGAGUUCGAUACCCGGUCGAAACA